AUACGUAGGGGGCGAGCGUUAUCCGGAUUUAUUGGGCAUAAAGCGCGAGCAGGUGGUAUUGUAAGUUAGGUGUUAAAGGCUUUAGCUCAACUAAAGUUGGCGCCUAAAACUGCAGUACUAGAGGUCAGUAGAGGGAAUCGGAACUCACGAAGUAGCGGUGAAAUGCGUAGAUAUCUGGAGGAACGCCGGUGGCGAAAGCGACUUACUGGGCCGCAACUGACGCUGAGGCGCGAAAGCUAGGGGAGCGAACGGGAUUAGAAACCCCAGUAGUCC
rnacentral:rRNA from 1 species